AUCCAGCUGAUAAGUCCAACAUGGGGCGAAACUCUCGUCCUGGAU
rfam:Schistosoma haematobium scaffold378_12, whole genome shotgun sequence.